AUUGAACGCUGGCGGCAGGCUUAACACAUGCAAGUCGAGCGAGCGGCGGACGGGUGAUUAAUGUCUGGGAAACUGCCUGAUGGAGGGGGAUAACUACUGGAAACGGUAGCUAAUACCUCAUACCAUCAGAUGUGCCCAGAUGUGAUUAGCUAGUAGGGGGGGUAAUGGCUCACCUAGGCGACGAUCCCUAGCUGGUCUGAGAGGAUGACGAGCCACACGGGAACUGAGACACGGUCCAGACUCCUAAGUGAGGCAGCAGCUGGGAACAUUGGACAAGGGGCGCAAGCCUGAUGCAGCCAUGCCGCGUGUGUGAAGAAGGCCUUCGGGUUGUAAAGCACUUUCAGCGAGGAGGCGUUACUCGAAGAAGAAGCACCGGCUAACUCCGUGCCAGCAGCCGCGGUAAUAC
rnacentral:rRNA from 1 species